CCCUUAGACGUUCUGGGCCGCACGCGCGCUACACUGACCGGUGCAACAAGCAUCCGUCCUUGGCCGACAGGCCCGGGCAAUCUUUGAACGCCGGUCGUGAUGGGGAUAGACUUUUGCAAUUUUUGGUCUUCAACGAGGAAUUCCUAGUAAACGCAAGUCAUCAACUUGCAUUGAUUACGUCCCUGCCCUUUGUACACACCGCCCGUCGCACCUACCGAUUGAAUGGUCCGGUGAAUAAUUCGGACUGCAGCAGUGCUUGGUCCUCCGGGCUUUGCAGCGGAAAGUUUAGUGAACCUUAUCACUUAGAGGAAGGAGAAGUCGUAACA
rnacentral:rRNA from 1 species